rnacentral:rRNA from 1 species
UACGGAGGGUGCAAGCGUUGUCCGGAUUUAUUGGGUUUAAAGGGUGCGUAGGCGGCUCAAUAAGUCAGUGGUGAAAGCCUCCAGCUUAACUGGAGAACUGCCAUUGAUACUGUUGAGCUUGAGUAUAGUUGAGGUAGGCGGAAUUGACAGUGUAGCGGUGAAAUGCUUAGAUAUUGUCAAGAACACCGAUUGCGAAGGCAGCUUACUAAGCUAUAACUGACGCUGAGGCACGAAAGUGUGGGUAUCAAACAGGAUUAGAUACCCUGGUAGUCCACACUGUAAACGAUGAUUACUCGCUGUUGGCGAUAUACUGUCAGCGGCCAAGCGAAAGCGUUAAGUAAUCCACCUGGGGAGUACGCUCGCAAGAGUG